GACGAACGCUGGCGGCGUGCUUAACACAUGCAAGUCGAACGGAAAGGCCCUGCUUUUGUGGGGUGCUCGAGUGGCGAACGGGUGAGUAACACGUGAGUAACCUGCCCUUGACUUUGGGAUAACUUCAGGAAACUGGGGCUAAUACCGGAUAGGAGCUCCUGCUGCAUGGUGGGGGUUGGAAAGUUUCGGCGGUUGGGGAUGGACUCGCGGCUUAUCAGCUUGUUGGUAGGGUAGUGGCUUACCAAGGCUUUGACGGGUAGCCGGCCUGAGAGGGUGACCGGCCAAACUGGAACUGAGACACGGUACAGACGACUAAGGGAGGCAGCAGUAGGGAAUGUUCCGCAAAGGGCGAAAGCCUGACGGAGCAACGCCGCGUGAGUGAUGAAGGUCUUGGGAUCGUAAAACUCUGUGAUGAGGGAAGAACAAAGGUGUAAGUAACUAUGCACGUCUUGACGGUACCUAAUCAGAAAGCCAGGGCUAACUACGUG
rnacentral:rRNA from 1 species